rnacentral:rRNA from 1 species
GUCCCUAAGAGAGGCCCCCGACUGNNANCGGANNGAGACGGAGCCCCUCGAGAGGAACCUCCCCCUGUUGCGGGAGGCGUGGCGAACGGAUCAUCAACACGAAUCCAACACUGCCCUGAAGAUAAGGACAACCCCGAGAAACUGGAAUUAAUCCUUGAGAGGGCGGUGGCUCUGGAAGGAAAGAUGGAUUGAAGGGGAACGCGACCUUCUUCCGCGAAUUCGCUCCAUGAUGGGACUGCCUCCAAUCAGGCUGUAGGCGGGGUAAUGGCCCACCAAACCUGUAAACCGGUACGGGCCUUGAGAGAGGUGGCCCGGAGAUGGGACACUGAGAGAAGGGUCCAGGUCCUACGGGGCGCAGCAGGCGCGAAACCUUUGCAAUGCGCGAAAGCGUGACGAGGUUAAUCCGAGUGACUCCCGCUUAGGAGGACUUUUGUCAGCUGUAAAUAGGCAGGCGAAUAAGGGGAGGGCAAGCCUGGUGUCAGCCGCCGCGGUAAUACCAGCUCCUCGAGUGCUCGGAGCGAUUAUUGGGCCUAAAGCAUCCGUAGAAAAAAACGUAGGUCCUCUGUUAAAUCCAACCGCUUAACGGUUGACCUGCAGAGGAUACCGCGGGACUAGGAGGCGGGAGAGGCGGACGGUACUCCGCGUGUAGGGGUAAAAUCCUUUGAUCCGCGGAAGACCACCAGUGGCGAAGGCGGUCCGCCAGAACGCGCUUGACGGUGAGGGAUGAAACCCGGGGGAGCGAACCGGAUUAGAUACCCGGGUAGUCCCAGCCGUAAACGAUGCGAGCUAGAUGAUUCAUUCGCAAGUCGCGAAUGCAGUGUCGCAGGGAAGCCGUUAAGCCUCCAAAAUGGCCAGUACGGUCGC